GCCAGAGGGGAGGACGUGGGGCUAUCAGUCCAACUCCUCAGUUAAUAGCCAGGGAAACAGAAGCCCAGGGAGAUAAAGACGGUGGCAGAGGAGGAAUUCUUUCUUAGCAGAUCUUCCAUUCCUAAUCCAGGAUCAUUUCCAGGGCUCCCAGGUUCUCAAGAUGCUUGAAUCCUGGGACAAACACAGAGGAAGGAGCUCCUAAGGAUGGGGGCAGUGGUGAGGAAACAGGCCACUGAGACAGUGAUGGUGUUUGUAGGCAAAGAAGCUACUUGUAUUUGCCAACCACACCAGGAGGCCAGAACUCUUACCAAAACAGGAAUAGAAGACAUAGGGUGCAACCAUUUCUCCAGGCUGAAACAGAGCCCCUGAGGAAGGAGCAAAUCUGAAGUUCCCCUGCACCCAGGGCUUUGAUUCAGAUAUUGUUGGAGAGAGCAUUGCAUGGCUCAUGACUCACUAGGUGGUGGAUAAGCUCAUUGAGGAGAAAUCUUUUGCCACAUUUGGAGAAAGGAUUGAAGAGAAAUGAGAGCCUGGAUGUGAAGAAAACAUUAGGAAGCUGCAGCAGUAACCUAUGUGAGAAAUUAAGAGAACCUAAAUCAGAUCCGUUGGCCAUCAAGAUUUCACUCAUUUUGAGACCUAGAGAUUGGUGCUCCUGGAGCUGUGAAAUGCGUGGCCUCUGUAGCCCUGUGAAGGUCUUGUUUCUAUGGCGAUACAAGAGAAAGUCUUUGCAGAGUUGUUGCAGCUGGAAGUCUUCACUUACUUUAAGAGCUCAUUAAAGCUAGUGGAGCCUUCCAAACCUGAAAUGAACUGCUCCUUACAGAACUGCCAAAAGGAAGAAAUAGAAAAGAAAAAAGAAGCAAUAGGUCCAAAAAGUCAAGAGAAGCUAUGCUGUACCCUCAACACUCUGCCUAGAGAUUUCUUCCAUGAAAUAUCCUAGUUCACAUCUGCCUCCUGCAAACUACUAGGACAUGGACACUGCUCAGCCAAGUUCUGUGCCAAUUUGUAACAAGAAUGGCCUUUCCUCCUAUUUCCAAUAAGGCCCCAUCAGCAGAGGGAGGAGAAGAGGAGAAGCAGCUGGACAUCAGAGACUAUGGUUGGACAUUGGAGAGAAGCAGCUUGACUUCAAAGGGACGGCUUGAUGGCAUUGCUUCGGAGAGGAGUUCAGCCAGGGACAGCUGGACUCUAGGGGAAUAUUAUCUUCCCACACCAUCCACUUUUCAGCUCCCCUUCCCACUGAGAACCACUUUCAUUGGCAA
rnacentral:lncRNA from 1 species